rnacentral:rRNA from 1 species
GACGGGGGAUGCAAGUGUUAUCCGGAAUCACUUGGCGUAAAGCGUCUGCAGGUGGUUUCCUAAGUCCACUGUUAAACCUUGAGGCUCAACCUCAAAUCUGCAUUGGAAACUAGGAGACUUGAGUAUAGUAGGGGUAGAGGGAAUUUCCAGUGGAGCGGUGAAAUGCGUAGAUAUUGGAAAGAACACCGAUGGCGAAGGCACUCUACUGGGCUAUUACUGACACUCAGAGACGAAAGCUAGGGGAGCAAAUGGG